UAACGGCGAGUGAAGCGGCAAAAGCUCAAAUUUGAAAUCUGGCACCUUCGGUGUCCGAGUUGUAAUUUGAAGAAGGUAACUUUGGAGUUGGCUCUUGUCUAUGUUCCUUGGAACAGGACGUCACAGAGGGUGAGAAUCCCGUGCGAUGAGAUGCCCAAUUCUAUGUAAAGUGCUUUCGAAGAGUCGAGUUGUUUGGGAAUGCAGCUCUAAGUGGGUGGUAAAUUCCAUCUAAAGCUAAAUAUUGGCGAGAGACCGAUAGCGAACAAGUACAGUGAUGGAAAGAUGAAAAGAACUUUGAAAAGAGAGUGAAAAAGUACGUGAAAUUGUUGAAAGGGAAGGGCUUGAGAUCAGACUUGGUAUUUUGCGAUCCUUUCCUUCUUGGUUGGGUUCCUCGCAGCUUACUGGGCCAGCAUCGGUUUGGAUGGUAGGAUAAUGACUAAGGAAUGUGGCUCUACUUCGGUGGAGUGUUAUAGCCUUGGUUGAUACUGCCUGUCUAGACCGAGGACUGCGUCUUUUGA
rnacentral:rRNA from 1 species